AAGAGCUACUUUGUAGAAGAAAUGGAAUACCACAGAAUAACAAGGAGAAAAGGUUGAAAGAUGCAAUACAAGAAGACUCUACAACUAAUGACAGAGGCAGAAGGAGAAAGAAGUUGAUCUCAGAGGCAUAAGAUACUUGUGGAAGUAGAAAUUAUCAAUUUAGUAAGUACCACAAGCAUACU